rnacentral:rRNA from 1 species
CCAGCACCCCGAGUGGUCGGGACGAUUAUUGGGCCUAAAGCAUCCGUAGCCGGUUUUACAAGUCCUCCGUUAAAUCCAGCUGCUUAACAGAUGGGCUGCGGAGGAUACUAUAAGACUAGGAGGCAGGAGAGGCAAGCGGUACUCAGUGGGUAGGGGUAAAAUCCGUUGAUCCAUUGAAGACCACCAGUGGCGAAGGCGGCUUGCCAGAAUGCGCUCGACGGUGAGGGAUGAAAGCUGGGGGAGCAAACCGGAUUAGAUACCCGGGUAGUCCCAGCUGUAAACGAUGCAGACUCGGUGAUGGACUAGCUUUAUGCUAGUCCAGUGCCGCAGGGAAGCCGUUAAGUCUGCCGCCUGGGUAGUACGGUCGCAAGACUG